CCUACGGGGGGCUGCAGUAGGGAAUCUUCCACAAUGGGCGAAAGCCUGAUGGAGCAACGCCGCGUGGGUGAAGAAGGUCUUCGGAUCGUAAAACCCUGUUGUUAGAGAAGAAAGUGCGGGAGAGUAACUGUUCACGUGUCGACGGUAUCUAACCAGAAAGCCACGGCUAACUACGUGCCAGCAGCCGCGGUAAGACGUAGGUGGCAAGCGUUAUCCGGAUUUAUUGGGCGUAAAGGGAACGCAGGCGGUCUUUUAAGUCUGAGGUGAAAGCCUUCGGCUUAACCGGAGUAGUGCAUUGGAAACUUGGAGACUUGAGUGCAGCAGAGGCGAGUGGAACUCCCUGUGUAGCGG
rnacentral:rRNA from 1 species